rnacentral:lncRNA from 1 species
GCAGUUUUGCUAAAUUAAUGGAUAAAAAAUUAGAACGAUGUCCAAGUACCAUGAAAAGAAGUUUAUCACACAUUAAUACAAAUGUAUAAUGUUGUUUUAAAUUUUAAAACAAAUUUAAAGAUUAUAGGCUUCAUAUAUAGAGAAUUUACCGAAAACUCACUAUUUUCGUAGGGGUUAGUUAACACAUAGAUUUAUUUUAAAACAAAUUUAAACAUUAUAGGCUUCAUAUAUAGAGCAUUUACCGAAAACUCACUAUUUUCG